rnacentral:rRNA from 1 species
UACGAAGGGUGCAAGCGUUACUCGGAAUUACUGGGCGUAAAGGGUGCGUAGGUGGUUUUUUAAGUCCGUUGUGAAAUCCCUGGGCUCAACCUGGGAAUGGCAGUGGAUACUGGAAAGCUAGAGUGCGGUAGAGGGUAGUGGAAUUCCCGGUGUAGCAGUGAAAUUCGUAGAUAUCGGGAGGAACACCGGUGGCGAAGGCGGCGAUCUGGGUCGAUACUGACGCUGAGGUGCGAAAGCGUGGGGAGCAAACAGG